rnacentral:rRNA from 1 species
GAUGAACGCUGGCGGCGUGCCUAAUACAUGCAAGUCGAGCGAACAGAACAGGAGCUUGCUCCUCUGACGUUAGCGGCGGACGGGUGAGUAACACGUGGAUAACCUACCUAUAAGACUGGGAUAACAUCGGGAAACCGGAGCUAAUACCGGAUAAUAUAUUGAACCGCAUGGUUCAAUAGUGAAAGGCGGUUUUGCUGUCACUUAUAGAUGGAUCCGCGCCGCAUUAGCUAGUUGGUAAGGUAACGGCUUACCAAGGCAACGAUGCGUAGCCGACCUGAGAGGGUGAUCGGCCACACUGGAACUGAGACACGGUCCAGACUCCUACGGGAGGCAGCAGUAGGGAAUCUUCCGCAAUGGGCGAAAGCCUGACGGAGCAACGCCGCGUGAGUGAUGAAGGUCUUCGGAUCGUAAAACUCUGUUAUUAGGGAAGAACAAAUGUGUAAGUAACUGUGCACGUCUUGACGGUACCUAAUCAGAAAGCCACGGCUAACUACGUG